rnacentral:rRNA from 1 species
GAUGAACGCUGGCGGCGUGCCUAAGACAUGCAAGUCGAACGGGAGCGGGGGAGAAGCUUGCUUUUCCUGCCGGCGAGUGGCGAACGGGUGAGUAAUACAUCGGAACGUGCCCUGUAGUGGGGGAUAACUAGUCGAAAGAUUAGCUAAUACCGCAUACGACCUGAGGGUGAAAGUGGGGGACCGCAAGGCCUCAUGCUAUAGGAGCGGCCGAUGUCUGAUUAGCUAGUUGGUGGGGUAAAGGCCUACCAAGGCGACGAUCAGUAGCUGGUCUGAGAGGACGAUCAGCCACACUGGGACUGAGACACGGCCCAGACUCCUACGGGAGGCAGCAGUGGGGAAUUUUGGACAAUGGGCGAAAGCCUGAUCCAGCAAUGCCGCGUGUGUGAAGAAGGCCUUCGGGUUGUAAAGCACUUUUGUCCGGAAAGAAAUGGCUCUGGUUAAUACCUGGGGUCGAUGACGGUACCGGAAGAAUAAGGACCGGCUAACUACGUGCCAGCCGCCGCGGUAA